rnacentral:rRNA from 1 species
UACGGAGGGGGCUAGCGUUGUUCGGAAUUACUGGGCGUAAAGCGCGCGUAGGCGGACCUGCAAGUCGGGGGUGAAAGCCCGAGGCUCAACCUCGGAACUGCCUUCGAUACUGCGGGUCUCGAGUCCGGGAGAGGUGAGUGGAAUUGCGAGUGUAGAGGUGAAAUUCGUAGAUAUUCGCAAGAACACCAGUGGCGAAGGCGGCUCACUGGCCCGGUACUGACGCUGAGGUGCGAAAGCGUGGGGAGCAAACAGGG